UACGGAGGAUCCGAGCGUUGUCCGGAUUUAUUGGGUUUAAAGGGUGCGUAGGCGGGCCGUUGCGUCCGCGGUGAAAGGCCAGGGCUUAACCCUGGAGCUGCCGCGGAUACGGGCGGUCUUGAGUUCAGAUGAGGUGGGCGGAAUGUGCCGUGUAGCGGUGAAAUGCUUAGAUACGGUACAGAACGCCGAUUGCGAAGGCAGCUCACCAAGGUGAAACUGACGCUGAGGCACGAAAGCGUGGGGAUCAAACAGG
rnacentral:rRNA from 1 species